GGCUCUUCGGCGUCUGCACGAGCAUCACCACCGACUGCGGCUGUGCGAGGCGCUGGGACUGGGAGGGUAAUCCGGACCGGCCACUGAGGGGCAAUAGUGACCGAGAAUGAGUCAUCAGCGCUGGGCAAGCCUUGGUUGUAUGUACCAGGGGUCCAAUCAAAUCGCAGCAGGCUGGUAAUAGCUGGUAUUUACAUGCUUACAUGCAUACAUCCUAUCUUGGUGUAUACACUUUUAUUUCUUUUUCUUUAAAACAGAAAAUGAUAAUUUCACAACAGGCCGUCUCAAGCAAACCCUCACAUUAACCUUCCAACAU